rnacentral:rRNA from 1 species
AACGAACGCUGGCGGCAGGCUUAACACAUGCAAGUCGAACGCCCCGCAAGGGGAGUGGCAGACGGGUGAGUAACGCGUGGGAAUCUACCCAGUUCUACGGAACAACAGUUGGAAACGACUGCUAAUACCGUAUACGCCCUAAGGGGAAAGAUUUAUCGGAAUUGGAUGAGCCCGCGUUGGAUUAGCUAGUUGGUGGGGUAAUGGCCUACUAAGGCGACGAUCCAUAGCUGGUCUGAGAGGAUGAUCAGCCACACUGGGACUGAGACACGGCCCAGACUCCUACGGGAGGCAGCAGUGGGGAAUAUUGGACAAUGGGCGCAAGCCUGAUCCAGCCAUGCCGCGUGAGUGAUGAAGGCCUUAGGGUUGUAAAAGCUCUUUCAGUAGGGAAGAUAAUGACGGUACCUACAGAAGAAGCCCCGGCUAACUUCGUGCCAGCAGCCGCGGUAAUACGAAGGGGGCUAGCGUUGUUCGGAUUUACUGGGCGUAAAGCGCACGUAGGCGGUUUGUUAAGUCAGGGGUGAAAUCCCGGAGCUCAACUCCGGAACUGCCUUUGAUACUGGCAAGCUAGAGUCCGGAAGAGGUAAGUGGAACUCCUAGUGUAGAGGUGGAAUUCGUAGAUAUUAGGAAGAACACCAGUGGCGAAGGCGGCUUACUGGUCCGGAACUGACGCUGAGGUGCGAAAGCGUGGGGAGCAAACAGG